AGUGAACGCUGGCGGUAGGCCUAACACAUGCAAGUCGAACGGCAGCACAGUAAGAGCUUGCUCUUACGGGUGACGAGUGGCGGACGGGUGAGGAAUACAUCGGAAUCUACUUUUUCGAGGGGGAUAACGUAGGGAAACUUACGCUAAUACCGCAUUCGACCUACGGGUGAAAGCAGGGGCUCUUCGGACCUUGCGCGAUUGAAUGAGCCGGUGGCGGAUUAGUUAGUUGGCGGGGUAAAGGCCCGCCAAGGCGACGAUCCGUAGCUGGUCUGAGAGGAUGACCAGCCACACUGGGACUGAGACACGGUCCAGAGUCCUACGGGAGGCAGCAGUGGGGAAUAUUGGACAAUGGGGGCAAGCCUGAUCCAGCCAUACCGCGUGGGUGAAGAAGGCCUUCGGGUUGGAAAACCCUUUUGUUGGGGAAGAAAAGCAGCAGGUUAAUACCCCGCUGUUCUGACGGUACCCAAAGAAUAAGCACCGGCUAACUUCGUG
rnacentral:rRNA from 1 species